AGGUUGUUCGCAAGCUGGGCGAGUGAGGAGUCAAGGUCACCGGUGAGAACUUUGCCGGGUGGCUGCUGUGGUUGCUGUUGCCCUGGAGAAUUUACAACAACCAGAAAAGAAGCCGAUUUCCUGACCAGUUAAAAUAACGUCAUCGACGUAUCAGUAUACUUUUCGUCGAAAAAAACCUCGUAACUGGCCUGUAUAGUGAAUUAAUCUUCAGAAAAUACUGCACAAAAAUCUAAUAACAUUUUAUAAUGUCAUAUACUAUGUAAAACGCAAAGCAAUUAUCAAAUCAUGAUUG